rnacentral:misc_RNA from 1 species
AACAUUAGGUACAUCAAGUCCUCGGGCAGCAACAUCGGUGGCCACCAAUACAUUAAAUUGACCUUGUCGGAAACCAGAUAGAGUUCUCUCCCUCUGGCUUUGUGAGAUAUCUCCAUGCAAAGCUUCACACCUCAAAGUUCUUUGCAUUGCACCUGCCAGCCUAUCAGCAUCACGCUUUGUUUGAGUGAAGACAAUACAUUUGCCUCCUUUUGCAUGCUCCGAUAUUAAGGGUCCAAGAACUGCCGGUUUCUGACGCAUCUCACAAGCAAUUGAAUACAAAGAAAUGCCAUCAGCUAAUUUCUGGUCAGAGUCUCCUACAAGAUCAACGUGAAUUGGUUUCUUCAAGAACUUCUUGGUAAGUUUCAAUAUCCAACUUGGCAUCGUGGCUGAAAACAUCAUUGUCUGAUGUUUCUGCCUAAUAUUUUCUAGAAUGGUUUCAACAUCCUCUGCGAACCCCACAUUAAGCAUCUGAUCAGCUUCAUCUAGAACAACA